rnacentral:rRNA from 1 species
GAUGAACGCUGGCGGCGUGCUUAACACAUGCAAGUCGAACGGAAAGGCCACAGCUUGCUGUGGUACUCGAGUGGCGAACGGGUGAGUAACACGUGGGUGAUCUGCCCUGUACUUCGGGAUAAGCUUGGGAAACUGGGUCUAAUACCGGAUAGGAAUCACAUGUGGGUGUGUGGUUGGAAAGCUUUUGCGGUAUGGGAUGAGCUCGCGGCCUAUCAGCUUGUUGGUGGGGUAAUGGCCUACCAAGGCGUCGACGGGUAGCCGGCCUGAGAGGGUGUACGGCCACACUGGGACUGAGAUACGGCCCAGACUCCUACGGGAGGCAGCAGUGGGGAAUAUUGCACAAUGGGCGCAAGCCUGAUGCAGCGACGCCGCGUGGGGGAUGACGGCCUUCGGGUUGUAAACUCCUUUCGUCAGGGACGAAGCGAAAGUGACGGUACCUGGAUAAGAAGCACCGGCUAACUACGUG